rnacentral:rRNA from 3 species
AAGAUUAGAUAGUUGGUAGGGUAACGGCCUACCAAGUCAGUGAUCUUUAGGGGGCCUGAGAGGGUGAUCCCCCACACUGGUACUGAGACACGGACCAGACUCCUACGGGAGGCAGCAGUGAGGAAUAUUGGACAAUGGGUGAGAGCCUGAUCCAGCCAUCCCGCGUGAAGGACGACGGCCCUAUGGGUUGUAAACUUCUUUUGUAUAGGGAUAAACCUUUCCACGUGUGGAAAGCUGAAGGUACUAUACGAAUAAGCACCGGCUAACUCCGUGCCAGCAGCCGCGGUAAUACGGAGGGUGCAAGCGUUAUCCGGAUUUAUUGGGUUUAAAGGGUCCGUAGGCGGAUCUGUAAGUCAGUGGUGAAAUCUCAUAGCUUAACUAUGAAACUGCCAUUGAUACUGCAGGUCUU